AACGAACGCUGGCGGCAGGCCUAACACAUGCAAGUCGAGCGAGGACUUCGGUUCUAGCGGCGGACGGGUGAGUAACGCGUGGGAAUGUGCCCUUCUCUACGGAAUAGCCCUGGGAAACUGGGAGUAAUACCGUAUACGCCCUAUUGGGGAAAGAUUUAUCGGAGAAGGAUCAGCCCGCGUUGGAUUAGGUAGUUGGUGGGGUAAUGGCCUACCAAGCCGACGAUCCAUAGCUGGUUUGAGAGGAUGAUCAGCCACACUGGGACUGAGACACGGCCCAGACUCCUGCGGGAGGCAGCAGUGGGGAAUCUUAGACAAUGGGGCAACCCUGAUCUAGCCAUGCCGCGUGAGUGAUGAAGGCCUUAGGGUUGUAAAGCUCUUUCAGCUGGGAAGAUAAUGACGGUACCAGCAGAAGAAGCCCCGGCUAACUCCGUG
rnacentral:rRNA from 1 species